UAAAAGUUUAUGAGGAGAAAUGAAUGAAUUUCAUUAUUCAGGGUGUGUGAUUUGUCAGCUAAGUUACAUUACAGUGUUUUUGCUUCCUGAUGGGAUGAUGGACACUUUAGAAACAGAAGAUUAUUUGUAAAGAAUUAAUAAUAUGACACUACCAGUAGCAGUGGAGGGAAAUCACUAUGUUUAUUUACAAAUCACUUCUUGUAUUAUUUGACCAGCUUUAAUCACAAAACACUUAAAAAUGUGAUAGGUACACGCUCCAUACCGGUGUACAGUAGCAUCACUUCCAGCUCCCAAUGACAUUUACAACCAGGACCAAGAGACAAAACAACAUUUAAAAAUUGUACUUUACUCUAAACCAAAUAAGAAAAAAGACAGCAUCAGGACUAUUGUAUGAGCAGGUGAAAGAUUACAACAAACUAGAUUGUUAGCAGGCCUGAUACAGAUGACCUUAUUAGAGUCAAAUGAACAAAACACAGGCAGACUUACCAAAUAUAGUAUCCGUGAUUACAGACUGGAAAUAGGAACUGAGAAAACAUACAGCCCAUUGGAAACCCAAGGAGAAUGGACUUGUAAACAUUAUGAUAGAAGAGAAAUUUAAAACAAGACACUCUUCGUACAAAAUACAAAAGACACAAGAAAGAGACAGAAAUAGAAGAAAGUCACUAGAAAAAGAAAAAAAAAAUGACCCACUAAGAAAAUCCCUGUAUGUGUCUAGGAGAACUGAAAGACAUGGCAGGACAUAUGGGACAAAAUGUGACAGCCUGAACCACUGAAAUAGAAAUGGGCAGUAAUAUAAAAAUCCAGCCUAGCCCUUGGAUGUUCCAUGACAUUUGUCACAAUGUGGAAAUACUAGGAUCACCACUUUGGCUUUUCCUGAUUUGAUGGACGACCAGAGGACUUGAAGCUUUCCUGCCCUUUAAUUGUUGAAGGGAUGGUAGUGUUAAAUUGUUAACAAAGAGAUCUUUUUACCAAACUGUUUGUCAGAUAUUUGAGUUUAAUUUGUGUUAAACAGAAACAGAACCCACCCUUCCCUCCUAAAAAGAGCUUUAAAUAAACAUUCUGACUAAAAAUA